rnacentral:rRNA from 1 species
GACGAACGCUGGCGGCGUGCUUAACACAUGCAAGUCGAACGAAGUGGCGAACGGGUGAGUAACGCGUAAUCAACCUGCCCUUCAGAGGGGGACAACAGUUGGAAACGACUGCUAAUACCGCAUACUGAAGGAGGGGAUUGCGUCUGAUUAGCUAGUUGGUGGGGUAACGGCCCACCAAGGCGAUGGUCAGUAGCCGGGCUGGGAGGAGGAACGGCCACAUGGGGACGGGGACACGUCCCAGACGUCUACGGGAGGCAGCAGUGGGGAAUCGUCCGCAAUUGAGGAAAGUCUGACGGAGCAACGCCGCGUGAGGGAUGACGGCCUUCGGGUUGGAAAGCUCUGUUAAUCGGGACGCGGUACCGGAAUAGAAAGCCACGGCUAACUACGUGCCAGCAGCCGCGGUAAUAC